AGGUUGCCUGUCCUGAGAAAACUCAAAGACAAUGGUGCCAAGGAAGAACAGAAUUUCAUAAAUGAAGAAUGACAGAUGGCACUAAGAGUUCAAGUAAGAGACUACAGUUCCACCAAAUACUCGAUGAGAAAAUGAGUCUCGACUUGCAGAGCCAAGAUGACCAAAUAGGAACAGCUCCAGUCUACAGCUCCCAGCCUGAGCGACGCAGAAGAUGGGUGAUUUCUGCAUUUCCAUCUGAGGUACCGGGUUCAUCUCACUAGGAAGUGCCAGAGAGUGGGCGCAGGUCAGUGGGUGCGUGCACCGUGCGCGAGCCGAAGCAGG
rnacentral:lncRNA from 1 species